rnacentral:tRNA from 1 species
GCCUGGGUGGCGAAACUGGUAGACGCGCCAGACUCAAAAUCUGGUAUGGGAGACCAUGUGUCGGUUCGACUCCGACCCCAGGCACCA